CGCUAGCUACAGGCUUAACACAUGCAAGUCGAGGGGCAGCGCAGUGUAGCAAUACAUGGGCGGCGACCGGCGCACGGGUGCGUAACGCGUAUCCAACCUUCCCGUUACUCAGGGAUAGCCUUCCGAAAGGGAGAUUAAUACCUGAUGGUGUUGAAAUUCCGCAUGUUAUUUCAACUAAAGAUUUAUCGGUAACGGAUGGGGAUGCGUGACAUUAGGUAGAUGGCGGGGUAACGGCCCACCAUGCCUACGAUGUCUAGGGGUUCUGAGAGGAAGGUCCCCCACACUGGAACUGAGACACGGUCCAGACUCCUACGGGAGGCAGCAGUGAGGAAUAUUGGUCAAUGGUCGGAAGACUGAACCAGCCAAGUAGCGUGAAGGAUGAAGGUUCUAUGGAUUGUAAACUUCUUUUAUACGGGAAUAAAACCACCUACGUGUAGGUGCUUGUAUGUACCGUAUGAAUAAGCAUCGGCUAACUCCGUGCCAGCAGCCGCGGUAAUACGGAGGAUGCGAGCGUUAUCCGGAUUUAUUGGGUUUAAAGGGAGCGUAGACGGGGGAUUAAGUCAGUUGUGAAAGGCUGCGGCUCAACCGCAGCACUGCAGUUGAUACUGGUUCCCUUGAGUGCGGUUGAGGUGUGAGGAAUUCGUGGUGUAGCGGUGAAAUGCUUAGAUAUCACGAAGGACUCCGAUUG
rnacentral:rRNA from 1 species